rnacentral:lncRNA from 1 species
UCGGUAUUUUUAAUAUCAUGCAAAAUUUAUAUAUAUAGCAAUUUAACCCUAACAAUUCAAUAUACUCUCCUACCAUUAACAAAUUAACCUUUUGCAACUUGCAAAACACUAACAAAUGUAGCAAGUAGGGAGUAUCGGUACCGAUAUUUUACAUGGGGGCGAUAACUGAUAUAUCACCGAUAUUAACUGCAUAGGUUUCAAUUAGUCGAACGAACCUGUAUGAUGAUAAUAGCUGCUUAAAUUCAUGUUCCAAUUUGGAGAUAGCCUUGGAAAGCAAAUUAUUCGCAUGGUUGACCACCCCAUCGCUGCUCUUAAAGCUUUUGUUGUCGGUAAAAAACCGAAUAUUGCUUCUUAGUUGCUCAAUAGCUUCAAGAUAGCCUUCAAGAUUCUCACGUGGGCCUUUAAGUAUUUUAGCCUCAGCCUACAAGUUAGAAACAUAAAUACUCCUCACAUAACACAUUUCAUAAAAUAUAUAAGAAACUAGAGGUGGCGAAAUGGGUGGGUCUGGCAGGUGGGAUAACGGGUCAAACAUGAGUUCAAGUCGAACGGAUCGGAUCAAGUCACGUUGUGCAUCACGUUAACUUUAUAAAAACUUUUUUGUCUAUUUUUUUAAUACUUACAUCACGUUAACUUUAUAAAAAUAAUAAUAAUGUAGUUUCUUUUAAAUACGAUGAUUUAGGACGUUGUAAGCUUUUAACAUGUUUGACCCGUUACCGACAAAAUAUGAACCCAAAUUGGCUCGUUUCCAUACAGAUGGGCCAUAAUUUGAAAUUUCCACCUUUAUAAAGAAAUGAUUAGUUAAGAAAAACCAACCUCACGAGAAAGAUCGAAUUUGUUCAAUAUAACAUUAGCAGCCUUCAAGGUCUUAUCAAUGUUCUCAUGAGCUCUACGUAUACCAUGUGUCCUUAUCUACGAUAAAAACAUAAUGCGUAGAACUAGUGUGAAGUCUAGAUCAAAUGCAUAAUCGCAAUUAUCUUUCACAAAAAAAAAAAACAAAAAAACAAAAAAAACAAAAAAGACUUUUGACAAAAAAAUAAUUGUCAAGUAAUAUGGAAUUUCUCCUUUUGCACCUACAAUAUCUCAUUGUAUCCAAAAUUGAUUGUUAUUGCACACCCAAAUUUCAAUUAAAGUUGUGGCCUUAAGAAUGUAUAUUUAUAUAACUAUGAUCGUUAAGUCGAAGAGAAAACUAUAAGGAUCUGAUCCAAGAGUUAGCAGACUCUUGCCUGGACUAGCUGAAAAGGUCUCGACGAGCCAGAUCAUGUGGUUAGCCUAGCCGUCGAGCCCGAAUUCCAUCAAUAAGGGCUCCCAUUGAAUCAGCAAUACUUUCCCCAAAUUUUAGCUAUUUUCAUUCUUUCUAUUUUUAGUCUAAAACAUGUAAAUCAUUGGAUGUCAUAACUCUCACAUUUAUUUAUUUGGUUAUUUAUUUAUUUUUUUUGAACGACAAAUUUGGAUCACUGACGGACCACUAGAGUAUCAUUGUGCCACCAGUGUAACCACCUGAUCAUAUUCAUCUCUAUUAGACAAUAAUGCAUAUAGACCAGUUUAGGAGGAAACCCAAUAAAUUUGGGAAAAACCCCCUUGUGGGAAUCGAACCCAGGACCUAAUGGUACCAAGCUUUAUCCCAUCCCAAGAUAAGAUGUCACUGAGCUAUAAAAGGAAAUCAAUGACAAUUAGUUCACUAUGCAAAAACAACCAUUAAAGUCCUUAAUUUCAGCAUUUAAUCCCGGUUUGUAAUUAAAAAAAUUUGACAAUUCCUGACAAAUUUAGAAUUACAUCUAUAUUUAUUUCUUGCUUCCCAAAAAAAAAAAAAAAAAAAAAAAAAAAAAAAAAAAAACAAACUAGAGAUUCUUGUUCAUACAAAACGCAUAAAGCUAUUUAUUUAUUUAUCCAGCUAACACAAAGUAGAUCAAGGUUCCACCUUUUUUCCCCUAAACCUCAAAGCCAAACACACCCACAUACAUUUUCUCACAAUUCAAAGAAAUACAAAAAAUGGGUAUUUAUUACUUACUAUUUAGUAAAGUUAGAAAAAAAAAAUACUGAUGAAAAUGUACCUGAGUUGGACGCAUGGCUGAUUCAAGGGCAGAUAAACGGUGAUCAAAAGAACCCAAAAUGGAAACCAUGUUAUCAAUUAUCGGGUGGAAUUGGAACACCCAUGAGUUAGUUGAGUUUAGGAGAAUUGUGAAAAAGGGGAUAGUUGGAGUGAAAAUGUGUUGUUGA